GCCGCGGGAGGCCGAUUGCAAGUGUCGACAAGCAAUCGGAAUGCACUAACAGGUGGGUUGUGCUUACCGAAGCGACUAGGUCGCCCUCAUGUCGAAGAAAAAUAUGAUUUCCUAGUUGAUGCAUAUAAUGGGUUAAAUGCUACAUGAUGCAUAUAAUGGGUUAAAUGCUAUAUGAUGCAUAUGAUGUGAAGAUUGGGUAAAUGCAUAUAAUGUGAGAAAUGUAUAUUACAUGAUAAUUGCAUAUGAAUAUAAUGCAUGCUAGUGGACAAUGAUGUUAAAUGUUAAAUGCAUGCUAGUGGACAAUGAUGUUAAAUGUUAAAUGCAUGCUAGUGGACAAUGAUGUUAAAUGUUGAAUAUAAUGCAUGCUAGUGGCAAGUAAUAUGUUGAAUNUGUAUAUUACAUGAUAAUUGCAUAUGAAUAUAAUGCAUGCUAGUGGACAAUGAUGUUAAAUGUUAAAUGCAUGCUAGUGGACAAUGAUGUUAAAUGUUAAAUGCAUGCUAGUGGACAAUGAUGUUAAAUGUUGAAUAUAAUGCAUGCUAGUGGCAAGUAAUAUGUUGAAUGUUAAAUGAAUGCAUGAACUAAAUG
rnacentral:lncRNA from 1 species